GGCAGUGUAGUAUAAUGGGUAAGGAGUUAGUCUUGUAACCUAAAGGUCACAGGUUCGAGUUCUCACUAGGACA
rnacentral:tRNA from 1 species